rnacentral:rRNA from 1 species
UGAGGAAUAUUGGUCAAUGGACGAGAGUCUGAACCAGCCAAGUAGCGUGAAGGAUGACUGCCCUAUGGGUUGUAAACUUCUUUUAUACGGGAAUAAAGUUAGCCACGUGUGGCUUUUUGUAUGUACCGUAUGAAUAAGGAUCGGCUAACUCCGUGCCAGCAGCCGCGGUAAUACGGAGGAUCCGAGCGUUAUCCGGAUUUAUUGGGUUUAAAGGGAGCGUAGGCGGACGCUUAAGUCAGUUGUGAAAGUUUGCGGCUCAACCGUAAAAUUGCAGUUGAUACUGGGUGUCUUGAGUACAGUAGAGGCAGGCGGAAUUCGUGGUGUAGCGGUGAAAUGCUUAGAUAUCACGAAGAACUCCGAUUGCGAAGGCAGCCUGCUGGACUGUAACUGACGCUGAUGCUCGAAAGUGUGGGUAUCAAACAGGAUUAGAUACCCUGGUAGUCCACACAGUAAACGAUGAAUACUCGCUGUUUGCGAUAUACAGUAAGCGGCCAAGCGAAAGCGUUAAGUAUUCCACCUGGGGAGUACGCCGGCAACGGUGAAACUCAAAGGAAUUGACGGGGGCCCGCACAAGCGGAGGAACAUGUGGUUUAAUUCGAUGAUACGCGAGGAACCUUACCCGGGCUUGAAUUGCAACUGAAUGAUGUGGAGACAUGUCAGCCGCAAGGCAGUUGUGAAGGUGCUGCAUGGUUGUCGUCAGCUCGUGCCGUGAGGUGUCGGCUUAAGUGCCAUAACGAGCGCAACCCUUAUCGAUAGUUACCAUCAGGUUAUGCUGGGGACUCUGUCGAGACUGCCGUCGUAAGAUGUGAGGAAGGUGGGGAUGACGUCAAAUCAGCACGGCCCUUACGUCCGGGGCUACACACGUGUUACAAUGGGGGGUACAGAAGGCAGCUACACGGCGACGUGAUGCUAAUCCCGAAAGCCUCUCUCAGUUCGGAUUGGAGUCUGCAACCCGACUCCAUGAAGCUGGAUUCGCUAGUAAUCGCGCAUCAGCCACGGCGCGGUGAAUACGUUCCC